UACGUAGGGAGCAAGCGUUGUCCGGAUUCACUGGGUGUAAAGGGCGCGCAGGCGGAUCUGUAAGUCAGAGGUGAAAUCUCACGGCUUAACCGUGAAACUGCCUUUGAUACUGCAGAUCUUGAGUUUGGGAGAGGUUGAUGGAAUUCCAGGUGUAGCGGUGAAAUGCGUAGAUAUCUGGAAGAACACCAGUGGCGAAGGCGGUCAACUGGCCCAUAACUGACGCUCAGGCACGAAAGCGUGGGGAGCAAAAGGG
rnacentral:rRNA from 1 species